rnacentral:rRNA from 1 species
GAUGAACGCUGGCGGCGUGCUUAACACAUGCAUGUCGAACGGUGAAGGCGGAGCUUGCUCUGCUGGAUCAGUGGCGAACGGGUGAGUAACACGUGAGCAAUCUGCCCCUGACUCUGGGAUAAGCGCUGGAAACGGCGUCUAAUACUGGAUACGAGCUGCGAAGGCAUCUUCAGCAGCUGGAAAGAAUUUCGGUCAGGGAUGAGCUCGCGGCCUAUCAGCUUGUUGGUGAGGUAAUGGCUCACCAAGGCGUCGACGGGUAGCCGGCCUGAGAGGGUGACCGGCCACACGGGGACUGAGACACGGCCCAGACUCCUACGGGAGGCAGCAGUGGGGAAUAUUGCACAAUGGGCGAAAGCCUGAUGCAGCAACGCCGCGUGAGGGACGACGGCCUUCGGGUUGUAAACCUCUUUUAGCAGGGAAGAAGCGAAAGUGACGGGACCUGCAGAAAAAGCGCCGGCUAACUACGU